AUGCAAGUCGAACGGUGCCCUACGGGGCAUAGUGGCGGACGGGUGAGUAACACGUAGACAACCUGCCCCGAAGUGGGGAAUAACAUCUCGAAAGAGAUGCUAAUACCGCAUAAGUUCUCUCUUGUCAGGGAGAGAAGAAACCUUGGUGAGUAAUAUCACAGGGGGCUUUGGGAGGGGUCUGCGGCGGAUUAGCUAGUUGGUGAGGUAACGGCCCACCAAGGCGACGAUCCGUAGCUGGUCUGAGAGGACGGCCAGCCACACUGGGACUGAGACACGGCCCAGACUCCUACGGGAGGCAGCAGUGAGGAAUAUUCCACAAUGGGCGAAAGCCUGAUGGAGCGACGCCGCGUGAGGGAAGAAGCCUUUCGGGGUGUAAACCUCUUUUUUGGGGGAUGAUACGUCUUCUUACCUAUCCUAGCAAUAGGGUAGGAGAGAGAGGACUAAGACAGUACCCCAAGAAUAAGCCUCGGCUAACUACGUGCCAGCAGCCGCGGUAAUACGUAGGAGGCGAGCGUUGUCCGGAUUUACUGGGCGUAAAGAGCGCGCAGGCGGCACGCUAAGUACACCGUGAAAUCUCCCUGCUCAACGGGGAGGGAGCGAUGUAGACUG
rnacentral:rRNA from 1 species